rnacentral:sRNA from 1 species
ACUGUGCGCGAGAGAGGAGGGAAGGGGGAAGCGUUCGUGCCUCUCUGCCCCCUGUCCCCCUCUUGCUGCAUAGUAGCCACAUCCAUGUCUCUUGUACCCUGCAAUCUGGAGGCCCCUGCCAGAAGCGGGAAAUCCCAAGUACAGCAGCAAAAGGCUUGAGGAUGGAUUCUUGGCUCCUGGUGCAUUGCCACUCCCUGCCACCCUCCUCCUUGUCUUCUGUCUUCUCCUGGUGGCUUCAGGCCUUGCUUCAUGUCCCAAAAGGAGCCUCUGGGGCUGGCACAGCCCUCACUGCCUACAACCUGGGCCUGGUGGUUCUCCUAGGGUGCCUCUGGGAGGUCAUGGCCACCCCGCUGCUGGCUAACUGCAGCUACUUCUGCCAGCCAGUGGACUACAGAUGGAGCAAGCAUGGAAUGAGGGCAUCUUCCUGGAGACAGGAAGGUAGGCAUUGUGGAAUCAGCGGUGCGUAGAACAGUGAGGAUUUGGGGCUGAACCCAGCCCAGGUGGGACAAGCCGUGGCACCAGCCGGACUGCAGUCUGAUGGAACUUCCCCUUCCUGCCCAGCAGAUGGCGAGCGUGUGCUGCUGGUGCCUCUUUCCAAAGGACGUUGAAUUGCUUGACAGGUGUUCCAGGUGUUCUUUACUUUAUGAAUGAAGCCGGAGCAGCCCACCUUCCUGCAUCUCUACCACCAUGGCACCAUGCCCUGUGAUGGGUGGGCUGGAGUCAAAUACGUAGCAGGCAACCAGGGUCAGUUUGUGGCCACUGCUGCCCCCUCUUCCUACAGUCUCCUCACUGAGUGCCCCUUCCCUGUUGGGUUCAACACAUCUGUGCUCCUGUAAGCCCUCAGCCUCCUGGUUCUCUUCCUCAACUUCUACCACCAGACACAUCUGAGAAGCAAGCAAGAGAGGCUGAACUAGGAGCAGGACCCAGGGACUGAAACCAUCACAGCAUCCCCACAGAGAAUUGGGUGGAAGGCAGCGUGGCUUCCAGCUUACUGGUGCUGAGCAGAUUUCUCUGGGUCUCCAUUGUAUCCUCUGAAGGAAGGAGGAGGAUUGCCUUCUGUCCAGAUCUCAGGAUCAAACAAAUAGGUCCAACUUCCUGUGCUCACUUCAGUUAGAGCACUUCUCAUGUGACUUUGUAGCUUUGUGUGCAUCUCCUUCCUCUACUAGACCUAAGCCCCUCACGGGAGGGACUCUCUUAUUCUUGAUGUUCCCCACACCUGGAAUUUCAAUAAACAUCUCAAUAAA